rnacentral:rRNA from 1 species
AUGAGGUAUCUUUAUCUUGUUAAAUUGGAAAGAGCGACUCAUUGUGGUACAAAUACAUUGCUUACGGACAAAAGGCAUCUAAAAGAACUAAGGCUAGCGUGGACUGAACGUGGAGAGGGGUCAUAUUCAGAAGAAGAUGUUAGCAAUACUGAGAAGGUCUUUGAGAAGCUAGUACCUCCAUGCAACCUGGAAGACUUGUGUGUUUUUGGAUUCUUUGGUCAGCAGUAUCCCUCCUGGUUUGGUGCCACCUGCUUGUCUUCACUGAUAAAAUUGGUCCUGGAUGAAUUAUGGUCGUGUGUGGAUCUUCCACCGAUUGGGCAACUACCCAACUUGAAAUUCCUGAAAAUUGGGGUAGCAGAUGCAGUUACCAAGGUUGGAUCUGAAUUUGUUGGCUGCAAGAAGGGUGAUCAUGUAUGUAAUGAGUUGGUUGCUUUCCCUAAACUUGAAUGGUUGAUCUUCACAGAUAUGCCCAACUGGGAGGCCUGGUCUUUUUUUGAGGAAGAAGUUGUUGAUGAUGACCAAGGAGAAGAGGAUGGAGCCGCUGAAAUUCGGAAAGAUGAUAUCCAAUUUGCAAGAUAUCAAAUGUUUCCUCAUUUGAUGGUGUUGGAUCUCCACAAUUGCCCUAAGCUGAGGGCUCUUCCGCGACAGCUUGGAGAGGAGGCCGUCAGUUUGAAAGAGCUAAUAUUAUUUGGAGCGAACAACUUGGAGGUCGUGGAGGACCUCCCACUGCUCUCUGAGCGCCUUUAUAUUGGGGAUUGUGAAGGCCUGGAGAGGAUCUGCAACGUCCCUAAUGUGACAGACCUGCGUGUAUAUGGAUGUCCAAACUUGAGCUAUGUAGAGGGGCUGAGCAGUUUGCAACAGCUGGGGAUGGACGAGGAUAUGCAAGAGAUAUCUUCAUAUUGGGCGACUGGGCUUCAAGAGCAGCACCAUGGACUUCAUGGCGAAGAUCUGGAUAUCUACACAGUUGUUAGGAAGUAG